GUCCCAAAGUCAUGGUUAAGUGGGAAACGAUGUGGGAAGGCCCAGACAGCCAGGAUGUUGGCUUAGAAGCAGCCAUCAUUUAAAGAAAGCGUAAUAGCUCACUGGUCGAGUCGGCCUGCGCGGAAGAUGUAACGGGGCUAAACCAUGCACCGAAGCUGCGGCUGCGACGCUUAUGCGUUGUUGGGUAGGGGAGCGUUCUGUAAGCCUGUGAAGGUGUGCUGUGAGGCAUGCUGGAGGUAUCAGAAGUGCGAAUGCUGACAUAAGUAACGAUAAAGCGGGUGAAAAGCCCGCUCGCCGGAAGACCAAGGGUUCCUGUCCAACGUUAAUCGGGGCAGGGUGAGUCGACCCCUAAGGCGAGGCCGAAAGGCGUAGUCGAUGGGAAACAGGUUAAUAUUCCUGUACUUGGUGUUACUGCGAAGGGGGGACGGAGAAGGCUAUGUUGGCCGGGCGACGGUUGUCUCGGUUUAAGCGUGUAGGCUGGUUUUCCAGGCAAAUCCGGAAAAUCAAGGCUGAGGCGUGAUGACGAGGCACUACGGUGCUGAAGCAACAAAUGCCCUGCUUCCAGGAAAAGCCUCUAAGCAUCAGGUAACAUCAAAUCGUACCCCAAACCGACACAGGUGGUCAGGUAGAGAAUACCAAGGCGCUUGAGAGAACUCGGGUGAAGGAACUAGGCAAAAUGGUGCCGUAACUUCGGGAGAAGGCACGCUGAUAUGUAGGUGAAGUCCCUUGCGGAUGGAGCUGAAAUCAGUCGAAGAUACCAGCUGGCUGCAACUGUUUAUUAAAAACACAGCACUGUGCAAACACGAAAGUGGACGUAUACGGUGUGACGCCUGCCCGGUGCCGGAAGGUUAAUUGAUGGGGUCAGCGCAAGCGAAGCUCUU
rnacentral:rRNA from 1 species